rnacentral:rRNA from 1 species
GACGAACGCUGGCGGCGUGCUUAACACAUGCAAGUCGAACGGAAAGGCCCCUUUGGGGGUACUCGAGUGGCGAACGGGUGAGUAACACGUGAGUAACCUGCCCUUGACUUCGGGAUAACUUCAGGAAACUGGGGCUAAUACCGGAUAGGAAUCCUUGCUGCAUGGUGGGGGUUGGAAAGCUUCGGCGGUUUUGGAUGGACUCGCGGCUUAUCAGCUUGUUGGUGGGGGAGUGGCUUACCAAGGCUUUGACGGGUAGCCGGCCUGAGAGGGCGACCGGCCACAUUGGGACUGAGAUACGGCCCAGACUCCUACGGGAGGCAGCAGUGGGGAAUAUUGCACAAUGGGCGGAAGCCUGAUGCAGCAACGCCGCGUGCGGGAGGACGGCCUUCGGGUUGGAAACCGCUUUCAGCAGGGGCGAAGCUUGUGGUGACGGUACCUGCAGAAGAAGCACCGGCUAACUACGUG